rnacentral:rRNA from 1 species
GACGAACGCUGGCGGCGUGCUUAACACAUGCAAGUCGAACGGAAAGGCCCUGCUUGCAGGGUACUCGAGUGGCGAACGGGUGAGUAACACGUGGGUGAUCUGCCCUGCACUUCGGGAUAAGCUUGGGAAACUGGGUCUAAUACCGGAUAGGAGCCAUCUUUAGUGUGGUGGUUGGAAAGUUUUUUCGGUGUAGGAUGAGCUCGCGGCCUAUCAGCUUGUUGGUGGGGUAAUGGCCUACCAAGGCGGCGACGGGUAGCCGGCCUGAGAGGGUGUACGGCCACAUUGGGACUGAGAUACGGCCCAGACUCCUACGGGAGGCAGCAGGGGGGAAUAUUGCACAAUGGGCGCAAGCCUGAUGCAGCGACGCCGCGUGGGGGAUGAAGGCCUUCGGGUUGUAAACUCCUUUCGCUAGGGACGAAGCUUUUUUGUGACGGUACCUAGAGAAGAAGCACCGGCUAACUACGUG